rnacentral:rRNA from 1 species
CUAUGGGUCGCUGCAGUGAGGAAUAUUGCACAAUGGGGGGAACCCUGAUGCAGCAACGCCGCGUGGAGGAUGACGCAUUUCGGUGUGUAAACUCCUUUUAUAUGUCAAGAAAAUGACGGUAGCAUAUGAAUAAGCACCGGCUAACUCCGUGCCAGCAGCCGCGGUAAUACGGAGGGUGCAAGCGUUACUCGGAAUCACUGGGCGUAAAGGACGCGUAGGCGGGUUGGAAAGUCAGGUGUGAAAUCCUACAGCUUAACUGUAGAACUGCACUUGAAACUUCUAAUCUAGAGUAUGGGAGGGGGAGAUGGAAUUAGUGGUGUAGGGGUAAAAUCCGUAGAUAUCACUAGGAAUACCUAAAGCGAAGGCGAUCUCCUGGAACAUUACUGACGCUAAGGCGUGAAAGCGUGGGGGGCAAACAGGAUUAGAUACCCUUGUAGUC